AAGUCGUAACAAGGUAUCCGUAGG
rnacentral:rRNA from 1 species